rnacentral:rRNA from 1 species
AUUGAACGCUGGCGGCAGGCUUAACACAUGCAAGUCGAGCGAGCGGCGGACGGGUGAGAAAUGACUGGGAAACUGCCUGAUGGAGGGGGACAACUACUGGAAACGGUAGCUAAUAACGCAUACCAUCAGAUGUGCCCAGAUGGGAUUAGCUAGUAGGGGGGGUAAUGGCUCACCUAGGCGCCGAUCCCUAGCGGGUCUGAGAGGAUGACCAGCCACACGUGAACUGAGCCACGGUCCAGACUCCGACGGGAGGCAGCAGAGGGGAAUUGUGCACAAUGGGCGCAAGCCUGAUGCAGCCAUGCCGCGUGUGUGAAGAAGGCCUUCGGGUUGUAAAGCACUUUCAGCGAGGAGGCGUUACUCGCAGAAGAAGCACCGGCUAACUCCGUGCCAGCAGCCGCGGUAAUUC